AAAACAACUGGUUACAAAAACCUCUCUUGCAAGAGGGUCCCUUGUACUGGAAGGAUGAAGAAACCUCAUCCUUAUAGGCCUGAUACUAGGGCACUCCUUGAAAUAUAGGCACUUUAAGAAAUUUGCUAAACUAAUUUGCAAGGUUCCCUUCCAGCAUCUGGUGACAGAAAUUGUUCAGAAUUUAAGACAGAUCUGUGCUUCCAGGGUGCAGUUAUUGGUGUUUUGCAGGAGGCAAGUGAUGCCUAUCUGAUUGGUCUUUUUUUUUUUUUUUAAGAUACCAACCUGUGUAAUAUCUAUGGCAAACGUCUAACAAUCAUGUCAAAAUACACAUGGAUAGCAU
rnacentral:lncRNA from 1 species